CGUGUACUGAAUUCAUAGGUGCACGAAGCGAACCUGGGGAACUGAAACAUCUAAGUACCCAGAGGAAAAGAAAUCAACCGAGAUUCCGUCAGUAGCGGCGAGCGAACGCGGAAGAGCCCAGUUACCAAAUCACUAUUUGUUCUAGCAGAAUGUUCUGGAAAGUUCAGCCAUAGCGGGUGAUAGUCCCGUAUGCGAAAGGCGAAUAGUGUGGGUAACGAUGAGUAGGUCGGGACACGUGUAAUCCUGACUGAAGAUGGGGGGACCAUCCUCCAAGGCUAAAUACUCCUUACUGACCGAUAGCGAACUAGUACCGUGAGGGAAAGGUGAAAAGAACCCCGGCGAGGGGAGUGAAAUAGAACCUGAAACCGUAUGCGUACAAGCAGUCGAAG
rnacentral:rRNA from 2 species